rnacentral:rRNA from 1 species
UACGUAGGGGCCUAGCGUUGUCCGGAAUUAUUGGGCGUAAAGAGCUCGUAGGCGGCUCGGUAAGUCGGGUGUGAAACCUCCAGGCUCAACCUGGAGACGCCACUCGAUACUGCCGUGGCUAGAGUCCGGUAGAGGAGCGUAGAAUUCCUGGUGUAGCGGUGAAAUGCGCAGAUAUCAGGAGGAACACCAAUUGCGAAGGCAGCUCGCUGGGACGUUACUGACGCUGAGACGCGAAAGCGUGGGGAGCAAACAGG